rnacentral:rRNA from 1 species
AGGACGAACGCUGGCGGCGUGCUUAACACAUGCAAGUCGAACGAUGAAGCCAGCUUGCUGGUGGAUUAGUGGCGAACGGGUGAGUAACACGUGGGUGAUCUGCCCCAAACUUUGGGAUAAGCCUGGGAAACUGGGUCUAAUACCGAAUAUGACCACGGAAUACAUGUUUUGUGGUGGAAAGCUCCGGCGGUUUUGGGAUGGGCCCGCGGCCUAUCAGCUUGUUGGUGGGGUAAUGGCCUACCGAAGGCGACG